rnacentral:rRNA from 1 species
CUCUGUGACUCUACGGGAGCAGCAGUGGGGAAUAUUGGACAAUGGCCAAAAGUCUGAUCCAGCAAUUCUGUGUGUUUUGAUGAAGGCCUUCGGGUUGUAAAGAACUUUCAGUGGGGAAGAAGCAAGUGACGGUACCCCACAGAAGAAGCGACGGCUAAAUACGUGCCAGCAGCCGCGGUAAUACGUAUGUCGCAAGCGUUAUCCGGAAUUAUUGGGCAUAAAGGGCGUCUAGGCGGUCUAAUAAGUCUGAUGUGAAAAAUGCGGGGCUCAACUCCGUAUUGCGUUGGAAACUGUUAGACUAGAGUUUUUGGAGAGGUAGGCGGUAACUACAAGUGUAGAGGUGAAAUUCGUAGAGAUUUGUAGGAAUGCCGAUGACGAAGGUAGCUUACUGGACAAAUACUGACGCUGAAGCGCGAAAGCUAGGGGAGCAAACAGGAUUAGAUACCCUGGUAA